rnacentral:rRNA from 1 species
ACGGAGGAUCCAAGCGUUAUCCGGAAUCAUUGGGUUUAAAGGGUCCGUAGGCGGUCUUAUAAGUCAGUGGUGAAAGCCCAUCGCUCAACGAUGGAACUGCCAUUGAUACUGUAGGACUUGAAUUUUUGUGAAGUAACUAGAAUAUGUAGUGUAGCGGUGAAAUGCUUAGAUAUUACAUGGAAUACCAAUUGCGAAGGCAGGUUACUAACAAACGAUUGACGCUGAUGGACGAAAGCGUGGGGAGCGAACAG